rnacentral:tRNA from 1 species
GCGGAUGUGGUGGAAUGGUAGACACGCCAGACUUUGGAUCUGGUGCCUCUCGGUGUGGAGGUUCAAGUCCUCUCAUCCGCACCA